UCAUAUCCAAAAGGAUUAGGUGUCUUUUUUAAAGACUUAAUAGGGAAGUUGGUGAAAAUCCAACGCGGUCCCGCCACUGUAAAUGGGAGCUCUCUUAUAUACAAGCCACUGUCAUCGGAAUGGGAAGGCGGCAUAAGAGAGUGAUGAACAUGAGCCAGGAGACCUGCCUAUUCUUUUGCACCAAA
rnacentral:ncRNA from 2 species